UACGAAGGGGGCUAGCGUUGUUCGGAAUUACCGGGCGUAAAGCGCACGUAGGCGGAUUUGUCAGUCAGGGGUGAAAUCCCGGGGCUCAACCUCGGAACUGCCUUUGAUACAGCAAGUCUUGAGUUCGAGAGAGGUGGGUGGAAUUCCUAGUGUAGAGGUGAAAUUCGUAGAUAUUAGGAAGAACACCGGUGGCGAAGGCGGCCCACUGGCUCGAUACUGACGCUGAGGUGCGAAAGCGUGGGGAGCAAACAGGG
rnacentral:rRNA from 1 species